GCCCAUCGUCCGUAACUACGAUCUCUUUCGUUUUUCUUCGUAAGUCUGCUUCUUUCCUGAAAGCAUUGAUCAUCGGUCAAUAAUAAAUUCGAAACUUACUUUCUCGAGUAAUGAGAACGAGGAGGAGGUUGCGAGGACGGACCAUAGUCGGAGAUCAACAUAUCAAAGUUCCCAGCUCGAUUUAGAUCGCAUUGUUUCUUCGAGUGCAAUGCUUACUCGAACGACUAGUUACCGUCGACCUCGUAAACUUGCCUACCUACUUGGGAAACGAACGGAAAAGCAUAGUUAUUGACCUUUCGAAUAAAUGAUGCAGCCCACAUAAUACGCUUACGAUCAACAACGGUCACGUAACUUCUAGUGUGCGUGGCAUCGAAACGAGAAUUUACGCAAGUAUCGCGAGUAAGGACCCAUCUGUUUUAUUCCCAUUUCUUGUACGCUUUCCGUUCGUAUAUUUGAUACGUACCUGUCGUACGCUAAUUGAUUCAUUCAACUUUUGCAGGUGAGAGAAACAUCUUUCUCGUCUUUGAAAAAGAUGGCAAUUCAUGAAAAACGGUAUUGUAUGCUAAUCUAAGAGGGGAACGUCGAACGGUAUCGUGUAUUAAUCUAAGAGAAAAAUAUAUAUUAUAUUUAAUUUACUUAUAUAUUGUAUAACAAUUUAUUAAUAUUAUAUUCGUCGAUUGAUAUCUAAUACAGUAUAAAAAAAUUUUAGGACGAAUCAAGAACUUUAAUUAUAAAUGCAUUAUAAAGAAAAUUAUUAUUAGGAAUGAAAGAUAUCUCUAAGAUAUCUAAGAAGGAAUAGAUAGUUUCAUCUUUUCGAAUUACAAAUCGCGCGUUAAUGGAAUGAUAAAGAUGCAUCUCAAGUUAUUAUUACGUGAUCAAAAGUGUCGACUUUACGAUAUAAUGUUUUUGCAUAGAUAGCGUCGUAUCGAUGAUAUCGCUAUCUUCGAAAUUUUACAAAGUUGACUCGGUAGCUUCGGUAUCGUUUUAAUCAGAUCCGUCGUCGAAUCCCUUCGUUUUUCCACGAAGAACGAAGAUACACAUGAAAAAGUCAGAAGGGUAAGAGUCGAUGAACUAUACGAAGUAAAAAAGAAAUGUUCACUCAUCGCGAUCGAAAAACGUAGCUGCUGCUCUGAGCCCGGAAUGACUGUCCUCGUCCCUUUCCAUGUCGGAUGUAACAACCUUCACCACGACGACUUCGAUGGUGAUCAAAAGAAAGAGAACCAUAAACGUGGCCAUAUUGUAUUUCUCUUGACUCGGAAUGGACUUAUCACCUUCGAGCAAGAGUGUCGAUAUUAUAAUAGAGAUGCAGGCCAA